GACGUAGGGCGCGAGCGUUGUCCGGAAUUAUUGGGCGUAAAGAGCUCGUAGGCGGUUUGUCGCGUCUGCUGUGAAAAACCUAAGGCUCAACCUUGGGCUUGCAGUGGGUACGGGCAGACUAGAGUGCGGUAGGGGGUGACUGGAAUUCCUGGUGUAGCGGUGGAAUGCGCAGAUAUCAGGAGGAACACCGAUGACGAAGGCAGGUCACUGGGCCGCAACUGACGCUGAGGAGCGAAAAGCAUGGGGAGCGAACAGGG
rnacentral:rRNA from 1 species